GUCAAUCUUCAUCAUUUUAUGAUGGGCAACAUCAAAUACGUUUUGUGCCUAACAAUGUUCCUGAUCUGGUUCAAACCGAACCUGCUUUGAACUCUAUUUGGGAAACCACACGCAAUUCCCAGCACACAGCCGGUGUUUUUCAUCAAGGUUUGUUUUCCUAAUUACUCUACAGACAGUAGUUUUGAUAAAUUAUCGUAUAGUUAGUUAAAACCUUAAAACCGAGGGGUUUCAAGGCCACAAGGAAUGGCUGCUGUGUAUUUUUCUGAUAGAUCUGAAGUCCAAUGUCUGCAUCGCUGGAAAAAGGUUCUUAAUUCAGAACUUAUUAAAGGUCCAUAGACUCAUGAGGAGGAUGAAAAAGUCCUUGAGCUGGUGAAAACAUAUGGAUGGGCCCACAAAAUGGUCUCUCAUAACACAGUCUCUUCUCAGUCGUAUU